rnacentral:misc_RNA from 1 species
CGGCACGACAACUACUGAGGAAUAGAUUACCGGUGAAACAAACAUCCAGAGCUGGAUGACGACCGGCAGCGCGACACCGACAUCGCGAUACUUAACGUUCAGUGCCGAAAUCAGCACGCCGACGCCGAAAGACAAUAGCGUAGUUAGCGCGAUCAGAAACGGGAUUGCCGCGAGAUUCCAGGUCAGCGCGAUGUCGUAAUGCCGCACCAGGUGGUAGUAGGCAAAUAACCCUCCCAGGAUUGCGAAAGAGAUGGCGAAGUCAACCAGCCGGGCGGCGAUCGAAGCCGCGGGAACCAGCACGCGCGGAAAAUAUACCUUAGUGAUCAAAUUUGCGUUACCCAUCACGCUGUACGCCGCGGUACUCACGCCACUGGAAAAAAGAUUC